UGGAGAGUUUGAUCCUGGCUCAGGACGAACGCUGGCGGCGUGCCUAAUACAUGCAAGUCGAGCGAGUCUGCCUUGAAGAUCGGAGUGCUUGCACUCUGUGAAACAAGAUACAGGCUAGCGGCGGACGGGUGAGUAACACGUGGGUAACCUGCCCAAGAGAUCGGGAUAACACCUGGAAACAGAUGCUAAUACCGGAUAACAACAGAUGAUGCCUAUCAACUGUUUAAAAGAUGGUUCUGCUAUCACUCUUGGAUGGACCUGCGGUGCAUUAGCUAGUUGGUAGGGUAACGGCCUACCAAGGCGAUGAUGCAUAGCCGAGUUGAGAGACUGAUCGGCCACAUUGGGACUGAGACACGGCCCAAACUCCUACGGGAGGCAGCAGUAGGGAAUCUUCCACAAUGGACGCAAGUCUGAUGGAGCAACGCCGCGUGAGUGAAGAAGGGUUUCGGCUCGUAAAGCUCUGUUGUUGGUGAAGAAGGACAGGGGUAGUAACUGACCUUUGUUUGACGGUAAUCAAUUAGAAAGUCACGGCUAACUACGUGCCAGCAGCCGCGGUA
rnacentral:rRNA from 1 species